UGGUUCAUUGUGAAAUGGGAGUGGAAAGAAAAUCCACAGAGUUCAGACUGUUCUCAAACAGAUGGAUUUUAGAAGACUAAUUAGGAAAGCUAAAGACCUGAAAAUUGAUUCCCUUAAAACUAUAUGCAUCCGCAUAUCCCUUGGAAAGUCUUCACGCACCAAGGAUACAGAUACCACAGUUUGAAGACUAUUACACUAAAUUAUCUCCUGAGCUUUAGUAGAUCUUUUAAAAACUAAAAUUGCCAAUUUAUAUUUUAACAAAAAAAAUCUGAUCUUAAUUGACUCUCCGGUAUAAAUGAAUGAUAAAAACUUACAAAUGGACUGCAUUCUGGAAGUUCUGUUUCCUAAUAGGGAUCGUCUGCAGUAUGCAAGAAGGAUUGUUUUAGCUGAGACAGAGAUCAGUUUCUUAGCCUGCUUCUCUUCUAAGGUAAGCAUGCCAAGCCAGGGAUCCCAGCACAACAGCUCAGGGGGUCAGAACUGCCUCUCAGGGCCUCUGCCUCUCUGGGAUAGACCGGCUGCUACUGGUAGCCAAGACUCCAUCAGCAGUUAUGCAGUGCCUGUUCCAUAGCCCAGAUACUGCACCAAGUCAGCUGUCUCUCUCCUCACCACAUUCUCCCAAAUUCCAAUCCUUCACUUCCACAAACACCAUGGCCCAUGUGAAUGUGGAGAAUACUGAGCCAUGUGAAAAUCUAGGCCAAGCCAAACUGAGAAAGUUAGCCUAGCAAAACCCUUUAUUGCUGUGGUUUAAAGAAAGAAAAAGGCAGUCCUUUUAAUCAAUCAUUAGAACGCUUUCUCGUGAUUGGCUGCUCUGGAAAAAAGAGUUCUAAUAAUUAAAAGGAAGAGAAGCCAGGCAUGUUGGCUCACGCCUGUAAUCCCAGCACUUUGGGAGGCUGAGGCGGGUGGA
rnacentral:lncRNA from 1 species